AAAUUCCUCUAUAUAUGCAUUGCAGAUUCUCAAUGCAAAGCAAAGCACUGGACCUGCCGCUUUCUGUUGCAGAAGAGCAAUUGGGCACUGCACAAAUGGCACUACCAAGCUAGCAUUCAGGCUCAACUCAACUGGGGGUGAGUUUUGGACUAGUUCGGCGUCCGCCUACGGCUACGUGACAUGGAUGGCCGUUUAAAAUUGACACCUUUUGCUUGCUGAAUGGGGGUUUGCAUCUUUGCAAGUAGGCAACUUGCAAUGUAAGAAGACAUCAAAUUCGGUUGUGAAAUUCAGUGACCUUGGCAUGCAUCGUCACUGGUUAGCUAUCUAUGUUAUUGUUAGCUGCUGCACGCCUCCCGGCCCAGAGCUGGAAAAACUUACCGCAGCAUUGCAAGUUUGCAACAGAAUUCUCACAUGCUACAAAGCAAUUAUGCACUGCAGCCAAGUGGUACUGGUUCUACACAUCAAGCUGUAGUCUAGGCAUCAUAGCUGCAAGGACAGGUCACUUAUACUCACUUGUGCUGGUCAAAGAUCCUCAAGGGGAUCGACUGAAUCCUGCCUCAUCAGAUCUGGAUGGUUACUGCAUCAAUGCUUCCCAGAAGCAUUCGGCACUGUUACAGUACAUCAAGUUGGAUGUAGGUGAAAGAGGAAUCUACGGUUGAUAGUUUGGCUACCUAAAUCUUUUAGCCUUAACGCUGAGUGCAGCAAGAUCAUGGAGCUCGGCCAACCAUUUUAAAGCUCUCCAAAAUCCAGCAAAACUUACCCAACAGGUUCAUGAACCAGAUACUAAUUGCAAGUAAAAACUGGUCAAAACUCAAAAGCAGAUCAAAGCUUGGCUCAGGACAGUCCAUUUCAGGCUUGUCAUGUGUCAGGUAUCUUUCUAGUGCGCAGGUGCGUGUCAUCUUCAGAGUUCAGAGCACAGAAGAUCAACAAGGGGGUCUGCUAGAUGAGCCAAUUAGCCUGGCCUUUCACUUGGAUUAGCUUUUGAGUUGACGAGGCUAAAAAAAAUUGUAGCUGACUGAAACUUUCACUUUCAAGGAGUUGGUUCAAACUAAGCUUUAGCUAAUGAACAGCUGAUUGGUGCUUACUGGGUGUUAAUAUAUGAGUAGAUUGCCUGUGCUGUAAUGCAUUGUCAUAACUCGAGGCAGCUUUACAUUAGAAGAACAGUGCUGAAUUCAGCUGGUGAUCUCUAAACCUUUUGAUCAAGGCAUUGCAUGCACCGACUGAAAGUCUGAAAUCCAAACUAAUCUAGUACCAUUUGGUGUCUCUUUUAAACAUGA